rnacentral:rRNA from 1 species
AUUGAACGCUGGCGGCAUGCCUUACACAUGCAAGUCGAACGGCAGCGCGGGGCAACCUGGCGGCGAGUGGCGAACGGGUGAGUAAUAUAUCGGAACAUACCCUAGAGUGGGGGAUAACGUAGCGAAAGUUACGCUAAUACCGCAUACGCACUAAGGUGGAAAGUGGGGGAUCUUCGGACCUCAUGCUCAUGGAGUGGCCGAUAUCUGAUUAGCUAGUUGGUGAGGUAAAGGCUCACCAAGGCGACGAUCAGUAGCUGGUUUGAGAGAACGACCAGCCACACUGGAACUGAGACACGGUCCAGACUCCUACGGGAGGCAGCAGUGGGGAAUUUUGGACAAUGGGGGCAACCCUGGUCCAGCAAUGCCGCGUGAGUGAAGAAGGCCUCGGUUGUAAGACUCUUUGUUCAGGG